rnacentral:pre_miRNA from 1 species
CAAGUACUCCCUCCGUCCAAAAAUACUUGUCAUCAAAAUGGAUAAAAAAGAUGUAUCUAGAACUAAUAUACAUUUAGAUACAUGCCCUUUUAUUCAUUUUGAUGACAAGUAUUUCCGGACGGAGGGAGUACUAC